CUCUCCCUCCCCUGUUUCCAACAAUCUCUCCUCUUAGAAUUCUUUGCCAGAAUAUGUUGAUUCUUUGGACCUAAUUAGAUGCCGUCGACACAUUAAAUAGAUAAAAGUAUUGACCUCUCCGACCUUAGGAAGGAGACACUGGUAUUGAUAACAAACUUUGAGAAACAGCACCUGCUUUAUGAUUAAGAAAUAGAAACCUACUACAAUUAAAGCAUGGUGCUUCUGUACUCUGAAGUUUCAUCUAGAAGCUCCCUAGUUGUAUUGGAGGAUAUACGUUUUGAUGUCUGCCUUCAACAUCCAUUCUUCAAUCUUACACCGGGUAAUGCUCCCCAGUGUACUGUUCUUUCCAGAAUCCUUCCUGAGUGUACGACAUUGAACGACCU
rnacentral:lncRNA from 1 species